UGCCCUGCCGCCGCGCCUCUCUCCAAUCCCCGCCCCGAGCUCCACCGCAUCCAUACCUGCUCGUUGGCAGCAGGUGGGGCUCCACCUCGUCUAGCCCAACACGGGGAGGGCCAGGACGGGAGCGAGGCGACGGCGAGGUCUCUCUCUCUCACCCGUUCUUCUCCUUGCGCAUCCUCUCCUUGUCGUCGGACAGCGCAACCGUUGGCUCUCUCCUUGGGAUCGGGCAGGGGCAUCCCGGGGAGGGAUUGGGCUGACAAUGGAUUUGGUGUGGCGUGAGGUUGGUUGAGGUCUACGGCUGCUGUUGUUUCUUGCUCCCGAUGAAGAUUCCGACGAUUUGUGCUCCGGCUCUACUUCGAGCGAGCGCGCUGAUUCCUGCUAGGAACCUGUGGUCUGAAAGAGCUAAUUUGCAGAAAUUUCAUCCACCCGUCAAACUGCAAAUCAGUGUUUGGUUGUACCAAUGCUUCCUGAUAUAGGCCUGGUACCAUAUCUUUUCUCGCUGGACAUACCUUCCGACGGCGAGAGUGAUGACUUCUAUCCCGCUCCUCUCCCAGCAAGGCAUCACUACCUCCCUCCUG